rnacentral:rRNA from 1 species
CAGUCGCCACGGUAAUACAGAGGGUGCGAGCGUUAAUCGGAUUUACUGGGCGUAAAGCGUGCGUAGGCGGCUAAUUGAGUCGGAUGUGAAAUCCCCGAGCUUAACUUGGGAAUUGCAUUCGAUACUGGUUAGCUAGAGUGUGGGAGAGGAUGGUAGAAUUCCAGGUGUAGCGGUGAAAUGCGUAGAGAUCUGGAGGAAUACCGAUGGCGAAGGCAGCCAUCUGGCCUAACACUGACGCUGAGGUACGAAAGCAUGGGGAGCAAACAGGAUUAGAUACCCGGGUAGUCCCUGUCUCUUAUAC